rnacentral:lncRNA from 1 species
AGCCAUAUCUUGAGUUUUUAGACGAAUUUUUGACUCAAAAUUUCCAUAAGUAUGAGUUAUUAAGUUAAAAAGUUAUAGAUCAAAGUUUCAUGGUAUUUGAAUACUUAUUUUAUGAGAUAUGAAGAAAUUAGCAUAUGGAUGUAUGUAAGGUAGGGUUUAAAGCUAUUGUUAGGAUUUUGGUGAUAUCUCAAGAUUUGUAACGAAUUUGUAGUUGAAUUUUUUUGUAAAUAUUUUUGAAAAUAUAUCAAUACUUCAUAAAAAAUUUAGGGUUGUUUGGAUAGUCUGAUCGUGAGAUAUGAGCUAUUGAAGUUUGGGA